GGGAAUGUAGCUUAGUGGAAGAGUGCUUGCCUAACAUGCAUGAGGUGCUGGGUUCAAUUCCUUGCUGCCA
rnacentral:tRNA from 1 species